rnacentral:lncRNA from 1 species
CCCACCUUUCCCAACAGUGCAACAAAGAUUAAAUUAACUCUGAUUGAUGGCACAUGUAGCACAUCACUUAAGGCCAGAGUCUUUCCAGAUGUGAGUUUGAGAAGAACUUUCCCUUUUCCCAGAACAGGAGUGGUCCUGGAAUCACCGAGGUAGACAUGUUCUUCUUCAUCCCCUACACUAGUGUAAGAGGUAAAGGCACUUCUGUUUGCACAAAUAUGCCUGGUAGCACCAACCCAUUUGCUCACAUUGGUCAUUAGAUUUACUUGAGAAAUGACCGCCACAAUAAUGUCAUCUCCUUCGGUUAUAUUUGCCUUUGGAGGAUUAUCGUUUCUC